GCCUCUGUAGCUCAGUUGGUUAGAGCGCUGCUCCGGAAUCGCAGGGCCGUAGGUUCGAUUCCUACCAGAGCUC
rnacentral:tRNA from 1 species